CGCGGGAUUAGAGUUUGAUCCUGGCUCAGAUUGAACGCUGGCGGCAGGCUUAACACAUGCAAGUCGAGCGGAAACGAUGGGAGCUUGCUCCCAGGCGUCGAGCGGCGGACGGGUGAGUAACGCGUAGGAAUCUACCCAGUAGUGGGGGAUAGCCCGGGGAAACUCGGAUUAAUACCGCAUACGCCCUACGGGGGAAAGGCCGGGAUCUUCGGACCGGUCGCUAUUGGAUGAGCCUGCGUUGGAUUAGCUAGUUGGUAGGGUAAAGGCCUACCAAGGCGACGAUCCAUAGCUGGUCUGAGAGGAUGAUCAGCCACACUGGAACUGAGACACGGUCCAGACUCCUACGGGAGGCAGCAGUGGGGAAUAUUGCACAAUGGGCGCAAGCCUGAUGCAGCCAUGCCGCGUGUGUGAAGAAGGCCUUCGGGUUGUAAAGCACUUUCAGUCGUGAGGAAGGCAGUAUAGUUAAUAGUUGUAUUGUUUGACGUUAGCGACAGAAGAAGCACCGGCUAACUCCGUGCCAGCAGCCGCGGUAAUACGGAGGGUGCGAGCGUUAAUCGGAAUUACUGGGCGUAAAGCGCAUGCAGGUGGUUUGUUAAGUCAGAUGUGAAAGCCCGGGGCUCAACCUCGGAAUAGCAUUUGAAACUGGCAGACUAGAGUACUGUAGAGGGGGGUAGAAUUUCA
rnacentral:rRNA from 1 species